rnacentral:rRNA from 1 species
UGGGGAAUAUUGGACAAUGGGCGCAAGCCUGAUCCAGCAAUGCCGCGUGUGUGAAGAAGGCCUUCGGGUUGUAAAGCACUUUUAUCAGGAGCGAAACGCUGUCGGCUAAUACCCGGCGGAACUGACGGUACCUGAGGAAUAAGCACCGGCUAACUUCGUGCCAGCAGCCGCGGUAAUACGAAGGGUGCAAGCGUUAAUCGGAAUUACUGGGCGUAAAGCGUGCGUAGGCGGUUUCUUAAGUCUGCUGUGAAAUCCCCGGGCUCAACCUGGGAAUGGCAGUGGAUACUGGGAGGCUAGAGUGUGUCAGAGGGUGGUGGAAUUCCCGGUGUAGCGGUGAAAUGCGUAGAGAUCGGGAGGAACAUCAGUGGCGAAGGCGGCCACCUGGGACAACACUGACGCUGAGGCACGAAAGCGUGGGGAGCAAACAGGAUUAGAUACCCUGGUAGUCCACGCCCUAAAGCGAUGCGAACUGGAUGUUGGUCUCAACUCGGAGAUCAGUGUCGAAGCUAACGCGUUAAGUUCGCCGCCUGGGGAGUACGGUCGCAAGACUGAAACUCAAAGGAAUUGACGGGGUCAUAGCUG